rnacentral:snRNA from 1 species
AUCGCUUCUCGGCCUUUUGGCUAAGAUCAAAGUGUAGUAUCUGUUCUUAUCAGCUUAAUCUCUGGUACGGUCUCCAUAGGGGACCCAGAAGAUUAAACUGAUUUUUGGAAAAUGACGGAGUGCUAGGGACUUGCUCCACCUCUGUCGCGGGUUGACCCGGUAUUGCAGUACCUCCGGGGAUGGCCCAUCUUAA